GAUGAACGCUGGCGGCGUGCCUAAUACAUGCAAGUCGAGCGGACAGACGAGGAGCUUGCUCCUCUGACGUUAGCGGCGGACGGGUGAGUAACACGUGGAUAACCUACCUAUAAGACUGGGAUAACUUCGGGUAACCGGAGCUAAUACCGGAUAAUAUAUUGAACCGCAUGGUUCAAUAGUGAAAGACGGUUUUGCUGUCACUUAUAGAUGGAUCCGCGCCGCAUUAGCUAGUUGGUAAGGUAACGGCUUACCAAGGCAACGAUGCGUAGCCGACCUGAGAGGGUGAUCGGCCACACUGGAACUGAGACACGGUCCAGACUCCUACGGGAGGCAGCAGUAGGGAAUCUUCCGCAAUGGGCGAAAGCCUGACGGAGCAACGCCGCGUGAGUGAUGAAGGUCUUCGGAUCGUAAAACUCUGUUAUUAGGGAAGAACAAAUGUGUAAGUAACUAUGCACGUCUUGACGGUACCUAAUCAGAAAGCCACGGCUAACUACGUG
rnacentral:rRNA from 1 species